UACGUAGGGGGCAAGCGUUGUCCGGAAUUAUUGGGCGUAAAGAGCUCGUAGGCGGUCUGUCGCGUCUGCUGUGAAAACCCGAGGCUCAACCUCGGGCCUGCAGUGGGUACGGGCAGACUAGAGUGUGGUAGGGGAGACUGGAAUUCCUGGUGUAGCGGUGGAAUGCGCAGAUAUCAGGAGGAACACCAAUGGCGAAGGCAGGUCUCUGGGCCACAACUGACGCUGAGGAGCGAAAGCGUGGGGAGCGAACAGG
rnacentral:rRNA from 1 species